CUAUCUCUCAAAGAGACAUAACGUGUGAAUAGAAUAAAUAAUUACGUGGACGUUCUGAUUCGAACUUUAUCGGAAAAUAACAGAUUUCAAAUCAUACAAAAUGACAGUUGGCCCUGAAACAGAAGAUUCACUAUUCGGUUUUGGGAUGCCGUCGUUGGAGGCGUUGGGAAUCGAGAAAUUAGAAAGCCAGAACUACGCCGCCCACCUACAUCGCCCUGACACACCACCUGAUUCACCAGAGCCAGACGAGGUACUGCCAGACGAGAAUGUGGCCAGAAUUGAUGCAAAUAUACAGAGAGCAAAUGAAAAUAUCGCCGGUAAAGAUGUUAUUACAGAAUUUUUCCGAAAAUAUCCCCAAGCAAACAAUUCUUUCGCAGCAAUCAUGGAUCUGUACAGCGACAGACAUUUGGAGGAGUUAUUGCGAAGAAUUGAAGAAGAUAACAUACACGAGGGAGAUCCUAUGAAACGGUUCAUUUUGAUUUACAAUUUCUAUAAAGCUAGGCAAGACUUUGAAAGCGAUAAAGAUAUUUUGAUGAAUGCAUGCCUAGCUCGUAUAGCUGCAGGUGAACCGAUAUAAAGAAAAGAAAAAACUAUAAAUAUAGAGGAAUUACUAAUGUCUUACAAAGACAAACCAAUGCUUAACUUGAAUGUGUUUCUUAUGAUAGUAAGAAAUUUUAUAGUUCUCCAUUAGUUUCGUUUUAGAAACAGAGUUCAGUGUUAAAAAUCGCUCGGUAUGGUCUCUACGUUUAUGGUUAUUUAUAAACUUAGCGAUACGUUUCUAUAGUUUCAUUAAUUUUGGUUUUCUGACUGCCGAAAAAAUAAAAUCUUUUGGAAAUAACCACUGAAAUGUAAUCAUUCUUAGCCGCGUAUGUUAUAUUUAGAAAAUAGAUGUGAAUGCACAAAUCAAACAGUGGGAAUUUAAAACGACGGAUGGUCUAUAAUCUAGUAUUGCGACAAGGUCAAUGGGAUGGACCAAUCACAAACAAACGAACCUAGAUAUCGUAUCGUCUAUUGUUUUUAAUUCUUUCCUCCUGAAGUUCGCACAGAGAUACCGCUUUUCCCUUAACACGAAUGUGCUGCCCAGAUCCACGCGAACUACACCAAAUCUUGCUUAACACUUGUGCAAAUUUAAGCUACAUUACAGUUCUUCGCCAUGCAUUUUAAUAGGAGUUAGUCAAGUCCAAAGGCGUCGCUAAGUCAUAUAAAGUAACCGUUCAUAGCGAGCGGAAUUUAGUGAUAUGUUGUAACUUUGUGAUAUUUUAAUCUAGGAGAGAUAAGACUGAAAAUGUUCACGAUAAAUCCUUAGGUAUUUUAAGUUAGAUGUAAACGCUACUUUUUGAUAUAAAUCAAUUCCAUACAAACGCAAGUACAGUUAAUAAAAUAUAAAGACCUACUCGUAAAAUCAAUAAAUUAUAUUAAAAUAUUCUAGUACUUUCUACCAAUUUUCUUUAAUUUUAAAACAAGGUUGAUAAAGGAUUAAUAAUAGUAAUAAAUUGUGAAUCAAUUACGAAAAAACAAUGUUUGUUUUGUUUAAAAUUGUAUACUUAGGGUUAAUGAAGUGAGUGUAGUAUUUAUUAAGUAUGCGCUGUGAUUCCGUAAUAAAUUUCCUAUAAUUAGUU